GCGGGUGUAGCUCAGUGGUAGAGCUCCAGCCUUCCAAGCUGGCUACGCGGGUUCAAUUCCCGUCACCCGCU
rnacentral:tRNA from 1 species